rnacentral:lncRNA from 1 species
AUUCCUAUCGUCAUAGUAAAACAAAUAAUUAAAAUCAUUACACAAUUGAUCAAGUCAUGCAAAGCAUUAAGCACAAAGAAUAAUUGAAGAAACUAACUUCGUAAUUCAUAUAUCAAUUCAUAUGAUAAUCACAUUGUUCAAGAAAAAUAACAAUUAGAAUCCCUAAAGACCAAUCAUUAAAAUUUAGCUAGACAUCUAUUACAAUAUAAGAAAACUAAUGACAAUGGUAAAAUCAGUUUUGCCCUUGCUUAAUAAAAUGCCACCUGUCCUUUUGAAGGGUAUUUUGAGUCCAAAAAUUAAGUAAUGGAACCAGAUAUGUGCCUAACCGAGCCAUAUUGCUGGCUAACUAAGCCAAAUAGCUAUUUUGUGAGACAAAAUACCACUUUAUUGCAAGCCAUGGUUCCACUUAAACUAUACCAAUUGGAUUUCAAUUGGUGGCUUUAUGUCACAUCACAAUUUUUCCUUUCAAAAAAGGACCAAAAAUUGAUUUUUCCCAAAACACUUUCUCUUUCUAUCAAACUUUCACCAGAUUUCAAUGUUGACCAAAUUCAAAAUUCAAAAUUUUUUUCCCCUCUUUCAUUUUUUCAAAAUUCUAUAUCAUCUUUAACACUUUUUUCAUUUCACAUUUCAUUCAUUUUCCUCUUCUUUAUCUGACUUUAUAUUUGUGCAUUACUUCUCUUCAUUUUUUUCCUAAUAUACAUUUUUGAAUAAAUCUCAUCUUAAUCUUCUUUGUCUAAUCAGAUGAAUUUUUUUUCUUUCAUGAAAGUUUAACAAUCAAACAGCAGCAGAGAUAAAUAAAAUAUAAAGAAAUAAGAGGAAUAACUUCAUUUUGGUAACUUUUUAUUAUCUUCUCAUCUUAACUUCAACUUUCUAACCAUUAAACUUGGUUUGGUUUUGCAGGAACAAUAUUGAUGUCCUUAUUUCUACAACAAACCACAAAGAAGGACAUGGGUAAGUAAAUAAUAAAAGUUUUAAUUUGAUAUAUUGAUUUUAUUUACCUUACUUUCCUUUUCGCACGGUUCAUUAUGUUAAAAAAGAAAUUUUUAUUUGAAAAAACAACUGGAAAAAUAUACUUGAUUAAAUUUGAGAAAUUGAAAAACAAAAUUAUUAUGAUUUUUUUUCCUUGAACUUCAUGACAGCCAAAUAAGUUCGUCUAGCGCGGGUAUGUAGACGAAACUCAUUUUCUUCACUAUAUUUAGUUUUGGUUACUGUUGUUGAUCCAUAUGAAUAAAUGUUUUGUUUUCACUAUAUUUAAAGGUUCAAGAUUAAAGAAAACUUUUUUUAAUAGUUUAAUUUUUUUUGUUUUGAUGUAUAAAUUCAUCAAAACUUUUUUUUAAUAAUGAAUCAAAAAUUUUGAGGACCGAUUUAUUUUGUAGGUCUCAAGAGUAUAAAUAUUGAAGGUGCAAGAUGAGAAAGAGAUGGUGAGGGAUAUGCCGUGAACAGAGACACAGUGGGUUGAGAUCUAGAAAAUUUGUUUUAACGUUAGAUGUAGAAAAAAAAAAUAUGUAACAAAAAAAAUUAGAAGAAAAAAAAAUCAACUAUUUCUCAUUCAUGAACUUAUUUUAUUUUAUUAGUUUUGAUUAUUUCACUUUUAGUUGUAUAGAAAAAGAAAGAAGAUGCAAAAUAAGAAAUAUAUAAAAAAAGAAAUAAAAUAAAAAUUACUACAGAGGCUAGAAAACAACAGAAACAUCUUUUCCUAUAAAUUUCCAAGAUCCAACAAAUAAAUAACAAAAAAAAUUAUAUAAUUACAGUAAUGAAAUCAUGGGAAAUAUAUUCAAAAGAUGAGCAUGACUUCUACAAACAAAGGACAAAAAAACAACUUACAAAGAAAAAGAAAUUCAAACCAGAUAUGAUUUUUUCCCCUUCUUUUGUUGUCUUUGAUUUUGUUCUUGGAUGUAAAAGUACACUGAAGAAGAUGAAGUCCCACAAUGUUUUCGGUAGGAUGGAGGAGAAGACAACAACACCAAACACAUAUUUUGGUCACGGUCACAGUGUUUACCGGCACGGUGGCCGCCGACGAAGGUGUUCUGAUCUUAAAUUUUCUUUGUGGGUAUUGUAAAGGAGAUGAAGGAGAUUAUUUAUAUGGUGGUGAUAUUUCAAAAGAUUUUCUAUGGAGGUCAAGAUCUAGGUGAGAAAGUGAUAAUUAAGAUUUAAAAAAAAAAUUGUGCAAAGGUGAAGAAAUGGAACAUGUUGGUCGUGAGAAGAAGAAGAGGAGAUGUUGAUGAAGGAGAGUUUAUGAUAUUGAAGGAAGAUGUUGGAAGAAAAAAAAAGAAAAAAAAAAGGGAAGGAAUGGAGCGGCUGNNNNNNNNNNNNNNNNNNNNNNNGAAGUGAAAAUUUAGGGUUUGGGAUAAUAAUAAUAAUAAUAAUAAUAAUAAUAAUAAUAAUAAUAAUAAUAAUAAUAAUAAUAAUAAUAAUAAUUUAUGUUUGGGUCAUGAAUUAUGGGCUUGGGCUGCAAUAUGAUCUAUUCUCACCAAAUAAUGAACUUUAUUCUAAUUAUUUAUUUAUUUUUUUUGACAACUUUACUCUAAUUAUUAUUUUUACAAAAUCAUUUUUAUUAAUUAAUAAGUAAAAAUAUAUUUUUAUUGAUUUCUUCAAAAAAUAAUUAUAUUACAUAUUUAAAAAGUAAAAUAAGGGAAAAAAAUAUGUUUCCAAUUGAAAUACGGGAAACUUUUAACUAUAAUGUAUUAAAUAAGUGAUUCAUGGAUAAAAUAUACUAUCAUUUCUUAUGAUUCACCACCAUAACCAACAACUCCUUUCAACAAUUCAAGAGCAAAUCAAGAGUAAUCAAUGAUUAAUUUUUAAUUUUUCGAUUUGAUAGAAAACUUAUUUUUUAGAUCUGCAAUUUUUCUAAGACUGAGUUAAUGAUUUUCAAAAUUAACAAGGGGAUUCUUCUUAUUUUUUGAUUGCAAAUGAAACCCAAAAAAGAACCUUCGUUUUGCAUUAUGUAACGAGAAACAUGGGUUGGGUAACAUUUGAGUUGAUUAAGACCCUUUUUGCGGUCACAAUUGUAGAAGAUGAGGUUCUGAAAAAAAGAAAGUGGAAAAUAAUUUAGUGUGGAUAGUCUAUGAUAAUCAUGCCCAGUCCUUUUUUUGUCAACGGUGGAUGAUGGAGUUGACAAGGGACAGAUUUGAAACAUUAGCCACGUGGCAUUUUUAAAUAGAGUUAACUGAAAAUUUAACGGAAAUGACUAACUAAAGAAAACGGUGAAAACGUAAGGGACCAAAUUGAUACGUUUUAAACGUAAGGGACCAAAUUAAAAUCUAAAAUAAACGUAAGGGACCAAAUAUGUAGUUAAACCUAAAUCAUUUAUUUAUUGUUAUGAAUCCAAAUGUUCAUAACAAUAGGUAGAAGAACAAAUUAUGUUACUUAUCCUGAAUCAAUGACAAUGUUGUUUCAUGUUUACAAGCAUGAAAUGAUUUUCGUUAGGGACCUCCUCAUCUUCUGACAACUUAUAUUAAUCUUGAACAAAGUUGACCGGAGUGGAGCUUUUGUGGCAGAGCUCUGGUGUGAACUUCACAUAGAUGCCAAAAAAAUACAGAUUUAAACUAGAUAUGAUUUUUUUUUUUUAUUCUUUUGAUGUCUUUGAUUCCUUUGUUGUUGGUCUGUAGAGAGAGCUGUUCAUAGCUUUAUCAUAGAUGAACAGUUGAAGGUUGAAAAAUGCACAUCCACUAAUUUUCAAGAUUACUCCUUUUUAAAAUACACUUUAAUAUAAAUAUAGAGGAGAAAGAGAGCAUAAAAAAUAUGUAUUUUAUUUUGUCAAAGUUUACUGGACGGAGGGGGCGAUGGCGGAAUGAUAGCGGCGGCUAGGUUUUCAAAGGGAAGGUUAAGAAACUUCAACGAGAAAGAGAGAGAAACAAAAUCUAAAAUGUUAAAACAAGUAAUGAUUUUAGUAGCAUGUAACCUAAUGGGUUUAUGUCAUGCUGGGCCUAAAACACAUUCCAUAUUUCUUAAGCCCAUAUUGUAUUUUUUCAUUUAAUAUUAUUCAAUUAAAAUGUUUAAGGUCUAAAAAUGUAACAUAAGGGGAAAGAGAAACUUAAUAAAAAAAAAUAAGAUGAUAAAAUAACUAUUUUUCCCAAAAAAAAUAAUUUAUUUUGCACACGAUAAAUUCUAAUUGAUCUAAAUUUUAAAAUAACUAUGGUAUAUGACACAAGUUUAAAAAUAUAAUAAUUUCAAUAUAAUUAUCAUAUGAGAGACAAGUUUUAACUAAUAAUUAUCAUACGAACGACAAAUUUUAAUUAAGAAUCAUCAUAUAUGGGACAAAUUCUAACUGAUAAAAGUUUCAAAAGAAUAAUCAUCAUAUAAGACAAGUUCUAUAACUAAUAACAAUUUCAAAAAAUUAUCUUAUACGGGAGAAAUACUAACUUGCAAAAUAAUUCAUACAUGACACAAGUUAUAAUAAUUUCAAAAUAACUAUCAUAUAUACUAACCAAAUCAUAAAUGUGAUAAAUUAUGCUAUGGAUUUUUAUAAUCGAUAACAAUUCCAAAUUAAAUAUAAUAUAUAUAUUAAAUAAAUUAUACAUUAGAUAAAUUAUACCAUUGACAAUAUAUGGGGAACAAGGUACUUGCUGAUGAAAAACUUGAAUUAACUAUAAUAUACGGGGAACAAGUUGUUGUUGAUGAAAAAAUUAUCAACUACUAUAUACAAGGAACAAGUUAUUGUUGAUGAAAUUUUUUAAUUAACUAUUAUAUACGGGGAACAAAUUUUUACUCAUGAAAAAUUUAAAUGAUACGGGGAACAAGUCGUUGUUCAUAAAAAAAUUAAAUUAACCAUUAUAUACGAAAAACAAAUUGUUGUUGAUGCAAUUUUUUAAUUAACUCUUAUACACGGAGAGGUUGGAAAAAAA